rnacentral:other from 1 species
UAAGUCCUGGUGUGUUCGUUCUAAUACCUUAUCGUUUUGACCGACAAGUUAUAAUUACGGGAGUCUGUUUGUCUACAUUCCAAGUAUAAGCCUCCGGUUGAGAGGACAUAUAAGGUUUGUAGCAGGACACCCACCUGCCAAGAGCGGGUUCAAAACAAAGGCUUGAAAAGACGGCACAAUCGGGACUUAU